CGGUCCGAGGAAAGUCCGGACUCCACAGAGCAGGGUGGUUGUUAACAGCAACCCGGGGUGACCCGCGGGACAGUGCCACAGAAAACAGACCGCCGCGCCCGCGAGCGCGGUAAGGGUGAAACGGUGCGGUAAGAGCGCACCAGCGCCCCGGGUGACCGGGGCGGCUAGGUAAACCCCACCCGGAGCAAGGUCGAAGGCCGCACCGCCCGCGGUGCGGCUGCGCGGAUGGAGUGCAGAGAUGCACGAGAGGGCUGCUCGCCCGAGUCCGCGGGUGGACCGCUCGAGGUACCCGGCGACGGUGUGCCCAGAUGGA
rnacentral:RNase_P_RNA from 1 species